rnacentral:rRNA from 1 species
GACGAACGCUGGCGGCGUGCUUAACACAUGCAAGUCGAACGGUGAAGCGAGUGCUUGCACUCGUGGAUCAGUGGCGAACGGGUGAGUAACACGUGAGUAACCUGCCCAUCACUCUGGGAUAAGCACUGGAAACGGUGUCUAAUACUGGAUACGACCAACCCUUGCAUGGGGUGUUGGUGGAAAGAUUUAUCGGUGAUGGAUGGACUCGCGGCCUAUCAGCUUGUUGGCGGGGUAAUGGCCCACCAAGGCGACGACGGGUAGCCGGCCUGAGAGGGUGACCGGCCACACUGGGACUGAGACACGGCCCAGACUCCUACGGGAGGCAGCAGUGGGGAAUAUUGCACAAUGGGCGAAAGCCUGAUGCAGCGACGCCGCGUGAGGGAUGACGGCCUUCGGGUUGUAAACCUCUUUCAGCAGGAAAGAAGCGAAAGUGACGGUACCUGCAGAAGAAGCACCGGCUAACUACGUG